rnacentral:rRNA from 1 species
UGUAAGCGUAUACCAAAGUUGUUGCAGUUAAAACGCUCGUAGUCGGACUUUGGCAGUUCCGGAUGUGUGCACGUCGUGUGCGCACUUCGCGGGGAUUGCUUUUGUGGUCUUGCGUAGGAUGAGGCACUUUUAUUAGUGAACGUCCUCACGCAACCACUUUUUACUGUGAGAAAAUCAGAGUGCUCAAAGCAGGCAUUUGCCGUGAAUGUAUUAGCAUGGAAUAAUAGAAUAGGACUUGGUUCUAUUUUGUUGGUUUGUUGGGACUGAGUAAUGAUUAAGAGGGACAGUUGGGGGCAUUUGUAUUUCGGUGCUAGAGGUGAAAUUCUUAGAUUACCGAAAGACAAACUGCUGCGAAAGCGUCUGUCAAGGAUGUUUUCAUUGA